rnacentral:rRNA from 1 species
AUACGUAGGUGACAAGCGUUGUCCGGAUUUACUGGGUGUAAAGGGUGCGUAGGCGGGGCAGCAAGUUGGAUGUGAAAUCCUCGGGCUCAACUAGAGAACUGCAUUCAAAACUGUUGCUCUUGAGUGCAGUAGAGGCAAGCGGCAUUCCCGGGGGAGCGGUGAAAAGCGCAGAGAUCGGGAGGAACACCAGUGGCGAAGGCGGCUUGCUGGGCUGUUACUGACGCUGAGGCACGAAAGCAUGGGUAGCAAACAGGAUUAGAUACCCUGGUAGUCCAUGCUGUAAACGAUGAUUACUAGGUGUGGGUGGACUGACCCCAUCCGUGCCGGAGUUAACACAUUAAGUAAUCCACCUGGGGAGUACGGCCGCAAGGUUGAAACUUAAAGGAAUUGGCGGGG